CCCUUAGAUGUUCUGGGCCGCACGCGCGCUACACUGAUGCAUUCAACGAGUUUCUUCCUGGUCCGAGAGGAAUGGGUAACCUUUUGAAAGUGCAUCGUGAUAGGGAUAGACUAUUGCAAUUAUUGGUCUUCAACGAGGAAUUCCUAGUAGACGUAGUUCAUCAGACUGCAUCGAUUACGUCCCUGCCCUUUGUACACACCGCCCGUCGCUCCUACCGAUUGAAUGCUCAGGUGAGCCAUUCGGACUUUCAUCAUGCUGGUUUCCAGUUUUGAUGAAGGAAAGUCUUGCGAACCUUAUCAUUUGGAGGAAGGAGAAGUCGUAACA
rnacentral:rRNA from 1 species